GACGAACGCUGGCGGCGUGCUUAACACAUGCAAGUCGAACGGAAAGGCCCUGCUUUUGUGGGGUGCUCGAGUGGCGAACGGGUGAGUAACACGUGAGUAACCUGCCCUUGACUUUGGGAUAACUUCAGGAAACUGGGGCUAAUACCGGAUAGGAGCUCCUGCUGCAUGGUGGGGGUUGGAAAGUUUCGGCGGUUGGGGAUGGACUCGCGGCUUAUCAGCUUGUUGGUGGGGUAGUGGCUUACCAAGGCUUCGACGGGUAGCCGGCCUGAGAGGGUGACCGGCCACAUUGGGACUGGGAGACGGCCCAGACUCGUACGGGAGGCAGCAGUGGGGAAUAUUGCACAAUGGGCGGAAGCCUGAUGCAGCAACGCCGCGUGCGGGAUGACGGCCUUCGAGUUGUAAACCGCUUUCGCCUGUGACGAAGCGUGAGUGACGGUAAUGGGUAAAGAAGCACCGGCUAACUACGUG
rnacentral:rRNA from 1 species